AUAAAUACAUAUGGGAGUCUGUGUACAGUCUGAGAGGAAGUGUAAGCUUCGACCGCACCUGAUCUGGGUAAUGCCAGCGUAGGAAACAAAUGAAAUGUAUUU
rnacentral:ncRNA from 1 species